rnacentral:rRNA from 1 species
UAGGGAAUCUUCGGCAAUGGACGAAAGUCUGACCGAGCAACGCCGCGUGAGUGAAGAAGGUUUUCGGAUCGUAAAACUCUGUUGUUAGAGAAGAACAAGGACGUUAGUAACUGAACGUCCCCUGACGGUAUCUAACUAGAAAGCCACGGCUAACUACGUGCCAGCAGCCGCGGUAAUACGUAGGUGGCAAGCGUUGUCCGGAUUUAUUGGGCGUAAAGCGAGCGCAGGCGGUUUCUUAAGUCUGAUGUGAAAGCCCCCGGCUCAACCGGGGAGGGUCAUUGGAAACUGGGAGACUUGAGUGCAGAAGAGGAGAGUGGAAUUCCAUGUGUCGCGGUGAAAUGCGUAGAUAUAUGGAGGAACACCAGUGGCGAAGGCGGCUCUCUGGUCUGUAACUGACGCUGAGGCUCGAAAGCGUGGGGAGCAAACAGG